GGCUUGUGGCUCAGUGGUAGAGUGCUUAUCUUGCAUGUGUGAGGCACUGGGUUCGAUCCUCAGCACCA
rnacentral:tRNA from 1 species